rnacentral:ribozyme from 13 species
UCUCUUUCUCUUUCUCCUCUCUCUUUAUUGCUUUCAUUUCCGCCCACGUUUCUUCUUCAAAGAGAAGAGAGAGAGGAGGAAAGAGACUAUUCUCUGCUAUAAUGAGAGAAAAGAGAGCAUAACAAGAGAGAAAAUAAUUUGGUUCUUCUUUUCCUUGUGGAUAGAGACUGGAAGAAAAAA